AGAGUUGAUCCUGGCUCAGGACGAACGCUGGCGGCGUGCCUAACACAUGCAAGUCGAGCGGAGACUACGACGAAGCGGAAUUUUUCGGAAGGAAGCGGAGAUGUAUGUUUUAGCGGCGGACGGGUAGUAACGCGUGAGCAACCUGUCCUUCACAGGGGGAUAACACAGCGAAAGUUGUACUAAUACGCAUAAGACCACGGAGGGGCAUCCCUAAGGGGUCAAAGGAGUAAUCCGGUGAAGGGUGGCUCGCGUCCGAUUAGAUAGUUGGUGAGGUAACGGCCCACCAAGUCAACGAUCGGUAGCCGCCUGAGAGGGUGAUCGGCCACAUUGGGACUGAGACACGGCCCAAACUCCUACGGGAGGCACAGUGGGGAAUAUUGGGCAAUGGGGGGAACCCUGACCCAGCAACGCCGCGUGAGGGAAGAGGUUUUCGGAUCGUAAACCUCUGUCCUUGGUGAAGAGAAGGAGACGGUAGCCAAGGAGGAGCCCCGGCUAACUACGUGCCAGCAGCCGCGGUAAUACGUAGGGGGCGAGCGUUGUCCGGAUGAUUGGGCGUAAAGGGCGCGUAGGCGGCCAUGUAAGUCUGGAGUGAAAGUCCUGUUUUUAGAUGGGAAUUGCUUUGGAUACUGUAUGGCUUGAGUGCAGGAGAGGUAAGUGGAAUUCCCGUGUAGCGGUGAAAUGCGUAGAGAUUGGGGAGGAACACCAGUGGCGAAGGCGACUUACUGACUGUAACUGACGCUGAGGCGCGAAAGUGUGGGGAGCAAACAGGAUUAGAUACCCUGGUAUCCACACUGUAAACGAUGAAUGCGAGGUGUAGGGGGUAUCGACCCCUUCUGUGCCGCAGUAACACAAUAAGCAUUCCGCCUGGG
rnacentral:rRNA from 1 species